AGAGUUUGAUCCUGGCUCAGAACGAACGCUGGCGGCGUGCCUAACACAUGCAAGUCCAACGUGAAAGGGGAGCAAUCCCCCGGUAGGGUGGCAAACGGGUGAGUAAUACAUGGGUGAUCUACCUUAGGGAUGGGGAUAUCCUUCCGAAAGGAGGGGCAAUACCGAAUAUUGUCCGGAGCCGUGAAGGGUUCCGGGGAAAGGGAGGCCUCUGAUACAAGCUUUCGCCUUAAGAUGAGCCCAUGGCCCAUCAGCUAGUUGGUAGGGUAAAGGCCUACCAAGGCUACGACGGGUCGCUGGUCUGAGAGGACGACCAGCCACACUGGCACUGAGAUACGGGCCAGACUCCUACGGGAGGCAGCAGUGAGGAAUAUUGCGCAAUGGGGGAAACCCUGACGCAGCAACGCCGCGUGUGGGAAGAAGGCCUUCGGGUCGUAAACCACUUUUGCACGGGACGAAAAAGGGAUAUCGAACAAAUAUCCCCGAUGACGGUACCGUGAGAAUAAGCCACGGCUAAGUCUGUGCCAGCAGCCGCGGUAAGACAGAGGUGGCAAGCGUUGUUCGGAAUUACUGGGCGUAAAGAGUCUGUAGGUGGUUUGUCAAGUCUUUGGUGAAAGGCCG
rnacentral:rRNA from 1 species